GUGUGUGGUUGGAUUAUGGCAAGCCUAUUCUCCAGGGCCUCUCAUAAUGUCGUAUGCCAAAGCAAACUAUGACCCUAGCCCAUUGCCUAGCCUCUGUCCAUAGGCUACUAACACUGUUGUGAAUUGUGCAGUG
rnacentral:snoRNA from 1 species